GUCGCCUCCACCAACCACACCUAUCUACCUAACUAAACCACCAGAAGCCAAGAUGCCUUUUCCAGGACACUUCCCUGAGACCCACUCCAAAGUCAGAGACCCCUCCCUUCACUAAGCUACUUGUACUGCUUCGAAGACAACUCACUUGCCAAGCACAGUCCAGGAAUGACUCCUCUUCAUGUCCUUUAUUCAAAAACAUGGGAAAUGAAAAUCGGUAGGAAGCCCUGAAAUAAAGAGCUGGAGCACAUUAAGCUGGAUUGACAAUCAUCCAGAAAUCUGGACCGUGGCUGCUUCCAUCUACUCGGCAUAUACUGAAGACCUGAUGAGACAUCCAGCCACUUCGGGAACUGCACUACAAUAGAUUCUUGGAUCUUCCUUGAUAGGCCAUACUUCCAAGCAGAGUGGGGACACACGGUGUGCCGAGACUGUAAAGGUGUCAGCAGUGGAGAAGCAUGGGGAAGUGAAUGCUGCAGAGUUUGAGCAAGGACCCAGCGUCCUGUGACAGGCCAAAUUUUGUAAUACCCAGGACUUUAUCUGUGUCAAGGGAGAUGCUCAGAAGGGGAAUAAAGCCACUCCUAGAAGUUCCAAACCACAGCAGCAAACAUCCUAACACAAGAACAAACCAGACCAGCCAAGCAGCUAUUUAUGGUAAAGGAAGAUGGUUAUCAGUGCAGCCUCAGGAGCCUGCUUCUUCAGGAUUCCAGCAUAUACUGAAGACCAGCUGAGACAUCCAGCCUUGUGGACUCUCCUAUUGGACUCUCCAUUCAUGGACAGCCA
rnacentral:lncRNA from 1 species